AGAACUUAGCAGAGAUGCUUUGGUGCCUUCGGGAACUCUGAGACAGGUGCUGCAUGGCUGUCGUCAGCUCGUGUUGUGAAAUGUUGGGUUAAGUCCCGCAACGAGCGCAACCCUUAUCCUUUGUUGCCAGCGGUCCGGCCGGGAACUCAAAGGAGACUGCCAGUGAUAAACUGGAGGAAGGUGGGGAUGACGUCAAGUCAUCAUGGCCCUUACGAGUAGGGCUACACACGUGCUACAAUGGCGCAUACAAAGAGAAGCGACCUCGCGAGAGCAAGCGGACCUCAUAAAGUGCGUCGUAGUCCGGAUUGGAGUCUGCAACUCGACUCCAUGAAGUCGGAAUCGCUAGUAAUCGUAGAUCAGAAUGCUACGGUGAAUACGUUCCCGGGCCUCGUACACACCGCCCGUCACACCAUGGGAGUGGGUUGCAAAAGAAGUAGGUAGCUUAACCUUCGGGAGGGCGCUUACCACUUUGUGAUUCAUGACUGGGGUGAAGUCGUAACAAGGUAGGCGUAGCGAG
rnacentral:rRNA from 1 species